CCCUUUUUUAUUUUUUUUUUGUUUCCCCCCGUGAUGACGCUGGCGGCAGGCUUAACACAUGCAAGUCGAGCGGAGUGAUGGUGCUUGCACUAUCACUUAGCGGCGGACGGGUGAGUAAUGCUUAGGAAUCUGCCUAUUAGUGGGGGACAACAUUUCGAAAGGAAUGCUAAUACCGCAUACGUCCUACGGGAGAAAGCAGGGGAUCUUCGGACCUUGCGCUAAUAGAUGAGCCUAAGUCGGAUUAGCUAGUUGGUGGGGUAAAGGCCUACCAAGGCGACGAUCUGUAGCGGGUCUGAGAGGAUGAUCCGCCACACUGGGACUGAGACACGGCCCAGACUCCUACGGGAGGCAGCAGUGGGGAAUAUUGGACAAUGGGCGCAAGCCUGAUCCAGCCAUGCCGCGUGUGUGAAGAAGGCCUUAUGGUUGUAAAGCACUUUAAGCGAGGAGGAGGCUACUGAAGUUAAUACCUUCAGAUAGUGGACGUUACUCGCAGAAUAAGCACCGGCUAACUCUGUGCCAGCAGCCGCGGUAAUACAGAGGGUGCAAGCGUUAAUCGGAUUUACUGGGCGUAAAGCGCGCGUAGGCGGCUAAUUAAGUCAAAUGUGAAAUCCCCGAGCUUAACUUGGGAAUUGCAUUCGAUACUGGUUAGCUAGAGUGUGGGAGAGGAUGGUAGAAUUCCAGGUGUAGCGGUGAAAUGCGUAGAGAUCUGGAGGAAUACCGAUGGCGAAGGCAGCCAUCUGGCCUAACACUGACGCUGAGGUGCGAAAGCAUGGGGAGCAAACAGGAUUAGAUACCCUGGUAGUCCAUGCCGUAAACGAUGUCUACUAGCCGUUGGGGCCUUUGAGGCUUUAGUGGCGCAGCUAACGCGAUAAGUAGACCGCCUGGGGAGUACGGUCGCAAGACUAAAACUCAAAUGAAUUGACGGGGGCCCGCACAAGCGGUGGAGCAUGUGGUUUAAUUCGAUGCAACGCGAAGAACCUUACCUGGCCUUGACAUAGUAAGAACUUUCCAGAGAUGGAUUGGUGCCUUCGGGAACUUACAUACAGGUGCUGCAUGGCUGUCGUCAGCUCGUGUCGUGAGAUGUUGGGUUAAGUCCCGCAACGAGCGCAACCCUUUUCCUUAUUUGCCAGCGAGUAAUGUCGGGAACUUUAAGGAUACUGCCAGUGACAAACUGGAGGAAGGCGGGGACGACGUCAAGUCAUCAUGGCCCUUACGGCCAGGGCUACACACGUGCUACAAUGGUCGGUACAAAGGGUUGCUACCUAGCGAUAGGAUGCUAAUCUCAAAAAGCCGAUCGUAGUCCGGAUUGGAGUCUGCAACUCGACUCCAUGAAGUCGGAAUCGCUAGUAAUCGCGGAUCAGAAUGCCGCGGUGAAUACGUUCCCGGGCCUUGUACACACCGCCCGUCACACCAUGGGAGUUUGUUGCACCAGAAGUAGGUAGUCUAACCGCAAGGAGGACGCUUACCACGGUGUGGCCGAUGACUGGGGUGAAGUCGUACCAA
rnacentral:rRNA from 1 species